UGGCAGUUUAAGACAGAAGGGUUUGAUAUUCGUUUUGGAAUCUUCAGACGAACAAAAGAUGUGAGACAAAAACUGAGAGAUAUGGAACCUAUUGUCAACUCUAAGAGGGUUAAAUGUCAAUUGUUUCUUGAAGAAGGCAGUGUACAUUGUACACAAAUUGGAACUUAUAUUCUUCGUUUUGACAACGCCUACAGCUUAGUGAGAUCCAAGAAAUUGUAUUAUCUGAUAGAAGUAUUGCGUCCAGAUGAACAAGUCAUACCCCUUUUGGAUAAUCAAGAAAUUGGUCAUUGAGUAUCCUGAGAUAUUUACUUCCAUCUAAUAUGUCUGCAAAAUAAAUAGGAACAUUCUCAUCCCAACAUUUGUAUUGAAAGUUUUGCCAAGAAAUGAA
rnacentral:sRNA from 1 species